rnacentral:rRNA from 1 species
AUUGAACGCUGGCGGCAGGCUUAACACAUGCAAGUCGAGCGGGGUGAGGUGCUUCGGUACUGAUCCUAGCGGCGGACGGGUGAGUAAUGCUUAGGAAUCUGCCAUUUAGUGGGGGACAACAUUCCGAAAGGAAUGCUAAUACCGCAUACGUCCUACGGGAGAAAGCAGGGGAUCUUCGGACCUUGCGCUAAAUGAUGAGCCUAAGUCGGAAUAGCUAGUUGGUGGGGUAAAGGCCUACCAAGGCGACGAUCUGUAGCGGGUCUGAGAGGAUGAUCCGCCACACUGGGACUGAGACACGGCCCAGACUCCUACGGGAGGCAGCAGUGGGGAAUAUUGGACGAUGGGCGGAAGCCUGAUCCAGCCAUGCCGCGUGUGUGAAGAAGGCCUUAUGGUUGUAAAGCACUUUAAGCGAGGAGGAGGCUACUUUAGUUAAUACCUAGAGAUAGUGGACGUUACUCGCAGAAUAAGCACCGGCUAACUCUGUGCCAGCCGCCGCCGUAAGAC